GAUGAACGCUGGCGGCGUGCCUAAUACAUGCAAGUCGAGCGAACGGACGAGAAGCUUGCUUCUCUGAUGUUAGCGGCGGACGGGUGAGUAACACGUGGAUAACCUACCUAUAAGACUGGGAUAACUUCGGGAAACCGGAGCUAAUACCGGAUAAUAUUUUGAACCGCAUGGUUCAAAAGUGAAAGACGGUCUUGCUGUCACUUAUAGAUGGAUCCGCGCUGCAUUAGCUAGUUGGUAAGGUAACGGCUUACCAAGGCAACGAUGCAUAGCCGACCUGAGAGGAUGAUCGGCCACACUGGAACUGAGACACGGUCCAGACUCCUACGGGAGGCAGCAGUAGGGAAUCUUCCGCAAUGGGCGAAAGCCUGACGGAGCAACGCCGCGUGAGUGAUGAAGGUCUUCGGAUCGUAAAACUCUGUUAUUGGGGAAGAACAUAUGUGUAAGUAACUGUGCACAUCUUGACGGUACCUAAUCAGAAAGCCACGGCUAACUACGUG
rnacentral:rRNA from 1 species